ACAUUCCUUCUAAGAACAGUUUUUGAGCAUUUAAAAUGCAUGAAACCCUGUGCUAGGCGAAGAUGAAUCAGCCCCCUGCCCUUUGGAGUCAAUCUAACUAAAGAAAGAGACACAUAAACAAAUAAUCAUAAUAGAGAAUCCUAUGCAACAAUGGAAUGUAAAAUUCUAACCUUGAACCUGAAAGGAAAGUCAAUGAGCCCCACAGAGAAAAGGACACAGAAUCCUUUAUAUCUGUUUUCCAAGACUUUCACCCUGAAGUGACUUCUAAGUUUCAAGAUAGGGGACACUCCACAAGAUUUAAAAUAAAAGCUUUUCCACCAAAAGAAAUAUGCAACCAAUUAUGAGGUUUGGUGCAAGAAGGCCCUUCAUCAGAAGCAGUGGCAGAUUUGGAUUUCUGUUGGGAUUUGCUGGUCAGUGAUGUCUCCCCAGGCUUUAGAAAAACAAAAACAAUUCAAACAAAAUCAUCUCUUAUACGUUCUUCAACCUGAGAACAGUGUGGCAAGUAGGUGAGAAAUAUCUCUAUCAUGUAAUAUUAAUAUUCAAUUAAGUAGCAAAAGUUCAAGAGCCAAUCAAGCAUUGUUAGUCAGGAGUGGUGACUUUCUUUCCCUGCUUCAAGGGCAUUCGUAGAAAAACCCAAUGGCACCGCCUCACAAAUUGUUGAAAUUGCACUUAAUAAAAUAUACCGUACCAUAUUGACAUAAUUGGCCAUUUCAAACACCCUCUUUCUUAUUUCUUCUGGAUCUUGAUUGUGCUUUUUAAACUACAAACAA